rnacentral:rRNA from 1 species
AUUGAACGCUGGCGGCAGGCCUAACACAUGCAAGUCGAACGAGUGGCGGACGGGUGAGUAAUGUCUGGGAAACUGCCCGAUGUGGGGGGAAACCUACUGGAACGGGUAGUAAAUACCGAUUACCAUCGAAUGUGCCAGAAUGGGUUUAGCGAGUAGGUGGGGUAACGGCUCACCUAGGCGACGAUCCCUAGCUGGUCUGAGAGGAUGACCAGCCACACUGGAACUGAGACACGAUCCAGACUCCUACGGGAGGCAGCAGUGGGGAAUAUUGCACAAUGGGCGCAAGCCUGAUGCAGCCAUGCCGCGUGUAUGAAGAAGGCCUUCGGGUUGUAAAGUACUUUCAGCGAGGAGGCGUUACUCGCAGAAGAAGCACCGGCUAACUCCGUGCCAGCAGCCGCGGUAAUAC